rnacentral:lncRNA from 1 species
UUUUUUUUUUUUUUUUUGCUGUUCCCACAACAUGUGGAAGUUCCGGGCUUCUGGGCCAGGGACGGAACCCAAGCUAUAGUAGACAAUGCCGGGUACUUAACCACUAGGCCACCAAGGAACUCUAAGAUGGCCCUUUAUUUUUUUUUAUUUUUUUGUCUUUUUGUCUUUUAGGGCUGCACCCACAGCAUAUGGAGGUUCCCAGGCUAGGGGUCUAAUAGGAGCUACAGCUGCUGGCCUACACCACAGCCCCAGUAACAUGGGAUCCCAGCCACGUCUGCAACCAACACCACAGCUCACAGCAGCAUUGGAUCCUUAACCCACUGAGCAAGGCCAGAGAUCGAACCUGCAACCGCAUGGUUCCUAGUCGGGUUUGUUAACCACUGAGCCACAAUGGGAACUCCUAAGAUGGCUCUUUAGAGGAAGAAAAUCUUAAAAGGAGGCCAAUUAUAAAUAACAUUGAAUGUUACUCAUGUACAGGUCAAAUAAACAUGUAAGUGUUAAGUUUUUAAUUAUGUACCUUUAUUUUAACUCAGGUAAGUUCAGCAGACCCUGCUAAUUGCCUAUUCAGUGUCCAUUCCCACUUCCCUUCUUAUGAACAGAACUCUACAAAUAUGCAAUCUCCCUGCAGCUAAGAAUGGCCACUUCACUCAGUUCUGGUCAAUAAGAUGUGGGUGGAAGACCCUGAGGAAGAAGUUCUUGCCUGAAUUAAAAGGCAAGGCUUUGUUAGGAGGUAACCCUCCCCCUUCUUCCUUUGUCCUUCUUCCUGCCUGGAAAUUAAAGGGGCAGCAACCACUUUGUAAUUGUCUGAUGCCAACACCAAGGCUGAAGGAUGGCAAACGAGGGGUGACCAAGAAGGGAGAUACAAAGGAGCUUAGGCUCCUGGUGGCUUUACUGAGUCAGAGUGACAGCCUGGACCCUUCCCGCCUUCCCUCCCCACCCCAGUUAUCUGUUAAACCAAUGUUGAUUGGGUUUCUGUAAUUUACAAGUAAAUGGAUUCUUGAUACCAUAUAUUAAUCUUCUUCUCACUUCAAAUACAAAGACUUAGCUCUUUAAAAAGAAAAGCUGUGAACUUAGAAUUCUAUAAAUUUACACAAACGUUCUGUAAAAUAAUGUAUAGCUUUAAAAUGACAUUCAGAGAUUGGAAGUCUCAGAAAGAGAGUGUCUGAUAAGUAAGGCUGUCUCCAAUAUACAAAAUGUAAUUGAAAAGUCUAAAACCCCAUUUGUAAGAUUGCUUUUUAAAAACUUCUUUUAAAAAGGCUUCCUAAGAAAUAAGUAUAUUCUGACCAGGGGAAAAAAAAAUGACAUAUACACACAUGUUUGUAAAGAGCAGCAAAUUAUAUCUUUCAUAAAUUUCAAAAUGAGUUCAAGGUAAAAAAUAAGAUGUUAUUAUAAUUAAUUCAUUUUAAUUACUAAUUUUAAAGUGUAACUUUUCAAUAACGUGUAUGCUAUGGAAACUGGUAGCAUUCCAAAAUUAUUCUGAGGUAUAAUGACAUGAGCUUAAGAUAAACAUAAAAUAAUGAGAAACGUUGGAGACUGAGUUAAUGACUUUUUUUCUUUUCUUGUCUUUUUAGGGCUGCACAUGCAGCAUAUGGAAGUUCCCAGGCUAGGGGUCACAUUGGAGCUGUAGCUGCCAGCCUACACCACAGCCACAGCAAUACCAGACCCUAUCCAUGUCUGCAACGUACACCAAAGCUCACGGCAACGCAAGAUGCUUAACCCCCUGAUCAAACUGAAUCCUUGUGGAUACAAGUCAGUUCGUUAACACUGAGCCACAAUGGGAAAUCUGAGAUUGAGUUAAUGAUUGAUCAUGCCUCUGUGAUGAAGUCUCCAUAAAAAUCCCAACAGCAUGGCGUUCAGAGAGCUUCUGGUCUGGUGAACACCCCUACAUGCCAGGAUGGUGGAACACCCCAGCCCACGGGGAAAGGGGCUCCUAUGUUCAGGACCCUUCCAUACCUUGUACCUCUCCAUUUGACUAUAUUCUUUAUGAUGAAUUGAUAAACAUAUCUUUCCCUGAAUUCUGUGACCCAGUCCAGAAAAUUAUGGCGCUCAAAGGGGGUGUCGAGGGACCUCCAGGUUAUAACUGGUCAGUCAGAAAUACAGGCACCAACCUAGAACCAUGCCAUGAAGUGGGGCGGUCUUGUGGAACUGAGUCCAGGUAAAUUGGUCGGAGUCGAAGUGAAUUAAAGGACAUCCAGCCAGCAUCUCAGAGAGCUGCUUGAUGUGUAGAAAGCCCACAUGUCUGUUGUCAGAACUAUGGUGAGUGUGUGACUAAAGGAGAAUCAUGGGAGAAUCAUUUUCUUUACACAAGGCUAAAAAUUCUUUUUUUAAAAAUGAAAAAAAAAAGUGGAGGCAAGAUGGCGGAAGAGUAGGGGGACACACUUGCCCUCUCUCACAAACACAACAAAAAAAACACAUCUACAGGUUAAACGACUCACACAGAACAGCAAUCAAUCGCUGGCAGAAGAAUCUAAACUCCAAUAAUGGCAAGAAUCUCGUGACAUAACUGGGUAAAACAAGAGAAAAGAGGAGAGUGAGAUAAGGGGAAUCCAAGCUGGACGGGCGCUCCCGAAAGGGAACUGUGAAGGAGAAAGGGAUCCCACACCCUGGAUCACCUACUCGACGGAAAGAUCAACCGAAUUGGAGGAAUCUCCAGAUGCAGAGAAGAGUGCAGCAAUAAGUUGGAGUUCUGAAAAGCAGAGUGAGAACCGAACAGAUCAUCUGAACUACUGGCACAGUCACCAAAAAUUGAGACGCUUGGGUGGGGGCUGGGCAGAGAGACCUCGGCUCCGGAGGUUAGUCCCCUGGAACAGGCUGGGGUGGGCAGUGCAGAGACUGCUUGGGGGAGUGUCUAGGAACCAGUCUGUCAGGUUUGACAGGGCAGAGACUGCCUGGGAGACUAGAAAGCAGAGCAUUGCAGGGGGAGGAAGCAACACGCUAAGGGCUGGGAAGUGGAAAGCCACAUCAGAGGGAACCUGGGAGAAGAGCUGGAUCUGCAGGAGAGACAGGGCACCAGUGUUGGGGAGGGGAGAGAAGAAGGGGUGGGCCACUAUAGAAUUCUCCCCAUGCCACAGCGAGCUCACUGGCCUGCUAGCGAUCAGAAAGCUGUGCUUCCCAGUGCAUCCCCCCUCCCCCUAUGCACGCUCUGGACCUGGGGCUGCCUGCCAUUCCAGAGGGCUGGCUUCAACAUUUGCCAGAGCCUACCACCACAGGAGCUUUCCCUGCCCUGGCCUGCUUGCCCUUUGGAGGCACUACACCCCUGCAAAGCAGCACCCAACACCGCCAACCCCUGGGAAAAGGCCUGCAGCCCAGAAAAGCUAGAACAAGCUCGGCUGGGCCGUGAAAAAUCUGCUUCCAUUCUCAGGCAGUCCUUCCAAUUCCGGCUCCUCUGGGGAAGAGCCUCUUGGGUUCUCAGCAGCCCAGCUAGCUGCUCCAGCACCUGGGGGGUGCUGUACUCCCGUGGAAUAGCUGCCCAACACCGCCAGCCCCCUGCAAGAGCCCCACAGCCCCAAAACACCAGAGCAAAUUCUGCCCGGCUGAGUGAAAUCUGCUUCCAUCACGGUGCAGACCUCCCAGUCCUGUCUGCCCUCAGGAAGUCCUCCUUUGCUUCAAAGAGACCCGGUCAGCCCUGCCCACCCUCUGGAAAAGCCACGCUGCCUCAAAGAAGACUGACCAACAAUGCCAGCCCUCAGGAAACAUUCCACAGCAGUGCCAAGGCAAACACUGUCCAGCCACGGAGAAUACAACUCCACCAGGGAAAAAGAAAACAACAAGUAAGAUGAAGAAGCUGAGAAACCACCCCCAGUUAAACCAACAGGAGAACUCACCUAAAGCAAUCAACAAUGAAACAGAUCUCUGCAGUCCGAUAGACCUGGAGUUCAAAAGAGAAAUAGUGAAAAUACUGAAGGAAUUAAGAGAAGAUAUGAACAGUAAUGCAGAUACCCUCAGAAAGGAACUAGAAAAUAUAAGGAGGAGCCAAGAAAAAAUAGAAAAUUCAUUUGCAGAGAUACAAACUGAGCUAAGGGCACUAAAAACCAGAAUGAAUAAUGCAGAAGAAUGAAUUAGUGAUGUAGAAGACAGAAUAAUGGAACUCAUCCAAUCAGGUCAGCAGACAGAAAACCAAAUGAAACAACAGGAAAGCAAAAGAAGAGACCUAUGGGAUAACAUAAAGUGGGCCAAUCUACACAUAAUAGGAAUUCCAGAAGGAGUAGAAAAAGAUAAGGGGAUGGAAAAUAUAUUUGAAGAAAUUAUCACUGGAAACUUCCCAAAUCUAAAGGAUACUGAGUUCAAGAUACAGGAAGCACAGAGGGCCCCAAACAAGUUGAACCCAAAUAGAUCCAAACCAAGACACAUCAUAAUAAAAAUGGCGAAAGUUAAUGAUAAAGAGAGGAUCCUAAAGGCAGCAAGAGAAAAGCAGAAUGUUACCUACAAGGGAACCCCCAUAAGGUUAUCAGCUGAUUUCUCUACAGAAAAACUACAGGCCAGGAGGGAAUGGCAAGAGACAUUUAAAGUGCUAAAAGGAAAAAAUAUGCAACCUAGAAUACUCUAUCCAGCAAGAAUAUCAUUUAAAAUAGAAGGGGAAAUAAAAAAUUUUUCCAACAAAGUCUAAAAGAAUAUAGCAAUACAAAACCCAGGCUAAAAGAAAUAUUAAAAGGGCUUCUCUAAACCUAAAAAAAGGAAGGAAAUAAAGG